UACAGAGGGUGCGAGCGUUAAUCGGAAUUACUGGGCGUAAAGGGCGCGUAGGUGGUCACUUAAGUCAGAUGUGAAAUCCCUGGGCUUAACCUAGGAAUUGCAUUUGAAACUGAGUGGCUAGAGUAUGGGAGAGGGAAGUGGAAUUUCCGGUGUAGCGGUGAAAUUCGUAGAUAUUGGGAAGAACACCGGUGGCGAAGGCGGCUCUCUGGACCGAUACUGACGCUGAGGCGCGAAAGCGUGGGGAGCAAACAGG
rnacentral:rRNA from 1 species